rnacentral:rRNA from 1 species
UCCCUCCAUGGGACAAUGAUCCUUCCGCAGUGUACACUUGUAGAAGCCUUAGCGGGUCCAAAAGACCGGUUCCGCGACUCAAAAUAAGAGAUGACCCCAUCCUCCACAUUGUGGGCGGGUGGCGCUAGUCGGUCCCAUGUCCAUGUUCUAUGUGACGGGGCGCCGGCGACACUAUCGAAUUGCGGGGAUACCCUAAAGGGCGGCCGUACGAACCCCGAGGUGAAAGUCUCGGGCUGCGAUAGUUAACAGCUAUCGGAAACGUAAAAAUCGGUCGCCAUGAUCCCCUGCCCGAGGAGGGGGGAAAUGGGCAAUCCGCAGCCAAGGGCCUAAGGCCGUCUUCAAGGGCGGCUACGGUCAAGGUUCACAGACUAAGUGGUAGUGGGUGUGGUCUAUGUGGCCAUGCUUAAGAUAUAGUCGGGCCAUCAGGGAAACCUGAUGGGUAAGUACACUGCAUGUGGCAAGAGUUAAUUAACCCUUCCCUACGUCUUCUGACGUUCUGUAAACCGUUCCGUAGGUGAACCUGCGGAAGGAUCAUUAAAGAGUAAGGGUCAUUCGUGGCCCGACCUCCAACCCUUUGUUGUUAUAACUACCUCGUUGCUAAGCACCGGCUUGACUCCUUUGCCGUUAAAACCCCAAUUUUUUAACAGGUUGACCUCGGAUCAGGUAGGGAUACCCGCUGAACUUAAGCAUAUCAAUAAGCGGAGGAAAAGAAACCAACAGGGAUUGCCCUAGUAACGGCGAGUGAAGCGGCAACAGCUCAAAUUUGAAAUCUGGCACUUGUGUCCGAGUUGUAAUUUGUAGAGGAUGCUUUUAGGCAGCCACCGGUCUAAGUUCCUUGGAACAGGACGUCAUAGAGGGUGAGAAUCCCGUAUGUGACCGGACAGGCACCUUCUGUAAAGCUCCUUCGACGAGUCGAGUUGUUUGGGAAUGCAGCUCUAAAUGGGAGGUAAAUUUCUUCUAAAGCUAAAUACCGGCGAGAGACCGAUAGCGCACAAGUAGAGUGAUCGAAAGAUGAAAAGCACUUUGGAAAGAGAGUUAAAAAGCACGUGAAAUUGUUGAAAGGGAAGCGCUUGCAAUCAGACUUGUCCUCGGGUGUUCCGCCGGUCUUCUGACCGGUCUACUCAUUCGGGGGCAGGCCAGCAUCACUUUCGGCGGCCGGAUAAAGGCAUUGGGAAUGUAGCUCAACCUUCGGGGGGAGUGUUAUAGCCCAGUGGUAAUACGGCCAGCCGGGAGUGAGGUCCGCGC